GUGAAUCAUCGAAUCUUUGAACGCAUCUUGCGCUCUCUGGUAUUCCGGGGAGUAUGCCUAUUUGAGGGUCAUUUGAAAUAAUAUACAUUCCAACAUUUCUCGGUAUUUAAAAUGGGUGGUCCAUGUUUUGUGCUCGCCUAACAUCCAAGACAAGCUCAUUUUCAUUGGUUGCGUGAUACUUUCAGUUAUCUGGUGACUUAACCAGGAAUCAUCAUGCCGGUUGU
rnacentral:misc_RNA from 1 species